GAGAGCACAGUACGAUGAAAGUUGUAAGCUGUGUUCGGGGGGGGGGGGGGAGAGGGGGAGUUAUUGUCUAUCGUUGGCCUCUAUGGUAGAAUCAGUCGGGGGACCUGAGAGGCGGUGGUUUACCCUGC
rnacentral:ncRNA from 1 species